ensembl:lncRNA
CCUCCAUCCUGGGCCCCAAAGCAGCCCCAACUGUGCCUGGUCCUCCUCCAUCCUAGGCCCCAAAGCCUGGGCUGUGCCUGGGCUCCCUUUCGUCUGGGCCCAGACAAGGCCUCAACUGUGCCUGCUCCAGCCCGGGCCCCAAAUCUGCCCCAUCUGUGCCAGGCCCCACUCCAGCCCAGGCCCAAAAGCAGCCCCAACUGUGCCUGGUCCUCCUCCAUCCUGGGCCCCAAAGCAGCCCCAACUGUGCCUGGCCCCCCUCCAUCCUGGGCCCCAAAGCAGCCCCAACUGUGCCUGGUCCUCCUCCAUCCUAGGCCCCAAAGCCUGGGCUGUGCCGGGGCUCCCUCUGGUCUGGGCCCAGAGGAGGCCUCAACUGUGCUAGGCCCCGCUCCAGCUCGGGCCCCCCCAGUGCAGCCCCAACUGCACUGGUCCUCCUCCAUCCUGGGCCCCAACACAGCCCCAACUGAGCCUGCUUCUCCUCCAUCCUGGGCCCCCCCAGUGCAGCCCCAACUGCACCUGGUCCUCC